rnacentral:rRNA from 1 species
GAUGAACGCUGGCGGCGUGCCUAAUACAUGCAAGUCGAGCGAACAGACGAGGCGCUUGCUCCUCUGUCGUUAGCGGCGGACGGGUGAGUCACACGUGGAUAACCUCCCUAUAAGACUGGGAUAUCUUCGGGACACCGGCGCUAAUACCGUAUAAUAUAUUGAACCGCAUGGUUCAAUAGUGAAAGACGGCUUUUCUGUCACUUAUAGCUGGAUCCGCGCCGCAUUGGCUAGUUGGUAAGGUAACGGCUUACCAAGGGAACGAUGCGUAGACGACCGCUGAGAGGGAUCGCCCACACGGGAGGGGAGACAGGGUCCAGGGGCCUACGGGACGCAGCAGUAGGGAAUCGGCGGCAAUGGUGGAAAGCCUGACGGAGCGAGGGCGCGCGAGUGAUGACGGUCUUCGGAGCGUAAAACUCUGUUAUGAGUGAUAAACAAAUUUGGAAGGAACUAUGCACGGCGUGACGGUACCGAGUAAGAAAGCCACGGCUAACUACGUG